GUUGGGUUCGAACCGGGUGAGGUUAGCAUUUACACUUGAGUUGGGGCGUUGGGCUUAAUACAAAAGCUCUGCAGCUUCGGAAAUCGGAAGUUGCGGCGGUUGUAGAGUGUUCGAUGUCGGACCCGUACGAGAGAGCCAAAGGAGGGAGGCUGGCCUUCAAGGGAGGCGACCUCGCAGUCCGCACCAAAUCCAUCGACAAAAAGAAGAAGAAAAAGAAGAAGUCAUCCGCCGACGACUUCGUUUCCGACGAGCCCUUGUCCGGCGACGCUGCCGUUGCCGCCUCGGAAAUGGGUUCGGGUUCAGCUCCUGACGGAGGAGAUAACAGUAUUUACACCAUUGACGCGGCGAAGAAGAUGAAGUACGACGAGUUGUUCCCAGUUGAAGCUAAGAAGUUCGGCUACGACCCGAAGGCUAAAGCCGAGUCCGUCGAACAAGCCCUUGAUGAUCGGGUCAAGAAGAAAGCUGAUCGCUACUGUAAAUAAAACGUCACAUUCUUAGGCAAUUAUUUAGGUGAUGGAGGAAAGCUUAAGGAUCCGGGGCGCUUUAAUGUGUAAACCCUCUCAUGGAAAUGUUAAUGAGCUGAAUCGAGUUAAAGCAAGCUGCAGAUCAUAGAAUACACUGCACUUGCGCACACACGUCUCUUUGAUGCUCACUACCAAGACAAUGUCGCUUUAACUGUAUACAUUACUUAUUCCUAGUGGUCGAACCCCUUGUAAACUGUGACAUCUUACCGGAAUUGCCUUGUUGCCAAAUUUCAACAGUUCCAUAGUAUUGGGCUAUUGGCAGACAAUGGAUGUUAAUGUUUCAAACACAAUUUCAGUGAAGUGGCUUUAGUAUCGUCUCUUUUAUGUUAUGUUAUUGAUCAUUAGUUAAA